rnacentral:lncRNA from 1 species
AACAGUCUGGAGUGGGAAGAGGGGAAGAAAAGCCAAGGAUUCAUAACGAGGAAGCGGACACUGAGGCCACACCCAACAAGUCCAGUCCCUCGAGUGGCAGCGUGGGCACUGGGACCCGGAGGUGGGAGGACCACCGUGGCCUGGUGAGGGCCUGUGACGGGGCUUCUGCCUCCCUGUCGCACUCACUGGAAACACGUCUGUGAUGUGCACAGGAAUCAAAGAAACGCCCAGAAUCGGAGCUUCAUGGGUAGAGGGAAUCUGAAGGAGCAGCGGGUGCCGGGAAGGUGACGGUCGCACCCAAGCGGAGCAGUCAGCCAGCUGAGGCCACGGAGCACUGGAAUCUGGAGAGAGACAAGGCGACAUCUGCAAAAGCCAAAACCACCAGAGGAAGCCAGGUCCCCAAGCAAUAUUGGGAACGGGUGGGGCGAACUGCUGAUAUUCGGAGGGAGAAAAGUAAAUGAAGCUGUGAAGAAGGCAAAGAUUGGGAAAGAGUCAGGAUGUCCUAGUUUUCCCCAAACCAAGGAGGGAGUGGCUAACGGCAUCAAAUGCCCUCUAGAGGUCUGGGCAACUAAGGACGGAAAGAAGGCCCAGAGGUCUGGUGCAUGGGGCCAGUGACCGCCACUGAGGAGGCAGGGCAUGUGGGAGGAGCAAGAGGCAGGGCUUUAGGAGGUGGGGGUGGUAAUGAAACGGAGAAGAUGCACGUAGGCAGGCUUGUUUGAAAAGUUUGUUGGUGAAAGGAGAAAGUUGAAAAGUUAGGAGAAUAUGAGGUUCAGGUCAAGUUUGAUCCAGGGUAUAUGUGUUUACGUGGAGCAGGAAAUAAACAGGCAGAUUAGAGAUGCUGGCAGAGACUCUGUGAGAGGGCUGGAGGGAAGGACACAGAACUCAGGGACAGGGCAGGUCCUUGGGAAGGGAGUUGGGCUCCGCUUCCUCUGAAAUAGGUGUGAGGGAAGAAAUUGAGUUAAAACUCUGCUAAUUAAAAAUUUAAAAGAAAGGUAAAAGAGGUAUAGAAAAGAGACUAUAAUUCCCCAAUAUUGUUC